GUCGAGCGAACGGACGAGAAGCUUGCUUCUCUGAUGUUAGCGGCGGACGGGUGAGUAACACGUGGAUAACCUACCUAUAAGACUGGGAUAACUUCGGGAAACCGGAGCUAAUACCGGAUAAUAUUUUGAACCGCAUGGUUCAAAAGUAAAAGACGGUCUUGCUGUCACCUAUAGAUGGAUCCGCGCUGCAUUAGCUAGUUGGUAAGGUAACGGCUUACCAAGGCAACGAUGCAUAGCCGACCUGAGAGGGUGAUCGGCCACACUGGAACUGAGACACGGUCCAGACUCCUACGGGAGGCAGCAGUAGGGAAUCUUCCGCAAUGGGCGAAAGCCUGACGGAGCAACGCCGCGUGAGUGAUGAAGGUCUUCGGAUCGUAAAACUCUGUUAUUAGGGAAGAACAUAUGUGUAAGUAACUGUGCACAUCUUGACGGUACCUAAUCAGAAAGCCACGGCUAACUACGUGCCAGCAGCCGCGGUAAUACGUAGGUGGCAAGCGUUAUCCGGAAUUAUUGGCGUAAAGCGCGCGUAGGCGGUUUUUUAAGUCUGAUGUGAAAGCCCACGGCUCAACCGUGGAGGGUCAUUGGAAACUGGAAAACUUGAGUGCAGAAGAGGAAAGUGGAAUUCCAUGUGUAGCGGUGAAAUGCGCAGAGAUAUGGAGGAACACCAGUGGCGAAGGCGAC
rnacentral:rRNA from 1 species